rfam:Ipomoea nil DNA, scaffold: scaffold0202, cultivar: Tokyo-kokei standard.
GUUGAAGUAGCUCAAAUGGAAGAGGUUUUGAUUAUUAAACAAGGGGUUAGGGGUUCAAAUCCCAUUUUAAACA